UACAUGGGGUGCAAACGUUGCUCGGAAUUAUUGGGCGUAAAGCGCGCGUAGGCGGUUACUCAAGUCGGAUGUGAAAGCCCUCGGCUUAACUGAGGAAGUGCACCCGAAACUGAGUAGCUAGAGUACUAAAGAGGGUCGCGGAAUUCCCGGUGUAGAGGUGAAAUUCGUAGAUAUGGGGAGGAACACCGGUGGCGAAGGCGGCCAUCUGGACGGAUACUGACGCUGAGACGCGAAAGCGUGGGUAGCAAACAGG
rnacentral:rRNA from 1 species